AGAGUUUGAUCCUGGCUCAGAACGAACGCUGGCGGCAUGCCUAACACAUGCAAGUCGAACGCCCCGCAAGGGGAGUGGCAGACGGGUGCAUAACACGUGGGAACCUACCCUUGGGUUCGGAAUAACCGCGGGAAACUGCGGCUAAUACCGGAUACGUCCUCUGGGAGAAAGAUUCAUCGCCCUUGGAGGGGCCCGCGUCGGAUUAGCUAGUUGGUGAGGUAACGGCUCACCAAGGCGACGAUCCGUAGCUGAUCUGAGAGGAUGAUCAGCCACACUGGAACUGAGACACGGUCCAGACUCCUACGGGAGGCAGCAGUGGGGAAUAUUGGACAAUGGGCGCAAGCCUGAUCCAGCAAUGCCGCGUGAGUGAUGAAGGCCUUCGGGUUGUAAAGCUCUUUUGGCAGGGACGAUAAUGACGGUACCUGCAGAAUAAGCCCCGGCUAACUUCGUGCCAGCAGCCGCGGUAAUACGAAGGGGGCUAGCGUUGUUCGGAAUUACUGGGCGUAAAGGGCGCGUAGGCGGUUUCGCUAGUCAGGCGUGAAAUCCCCAGG
rnacentral:rRNA from 1 species